UUCUUCUAUAUUUCUCUCGAUCUUCUCUCUACAUUCUCACUUAAAUUCCAUAGUCUAGUAUAGAGUCUUGAGUCUCUCUGAGUCCUUUUAAGUCCAAACUCUUGAGUCUUUUAUGUUAUCACCCUAGUCACCCUUCUAAGUCUUACUAGUCUUAUAUAGAUCAACGAUACCCUCCCCCCAAAUCAAACCAGUUAUUAAUACCAAGGAAUAUUUUAAGGGCUUACUGGUCUUAUCUUAGAAAGCAUGAGUCCAUAUUGGUUUCAAAGAAAAGUGCUUAAAAACGACAUACUGAGGAAUAUUUUAAGGGCUUUUGUUGUUUUUCACAUAGAUUAUUGUCGUUCUAUGCGGAAAACAAAACCCCGUUUUUUUAAAUGAUUAUGUGACAACAUUUUUUGUUGAUUCUUUCAAAAACCUCGUUGUUCAAUGCUUGCAAGAGUUGUCAAACUUUUUUUAAGCGUUCUACUGGCAUUUGAUGAGAUGUUCAUAGGUUUGGACGGUGAUUUGUAGUGAUAUGUUUCGUUCAUGAACAUGCAGUGGGUCGUUUUUUGAUUUUGAACUAAAAGUGGUAAAGCACUUGGAUUCGAAACUGAACCUGGGUUUUGGGGAACAGCUGUUUUCCGAAAAAUUGUGGAAAUGUACUGAAAUUCCACAAAGCCAACAAAAGAAAGGGAACAAAGUUGACUUUCUUGUUAGUUUGUGAGUGAAUAUUUUAGUGUGAAAAAGUGGUUAAAUUUCUCUUCAUUGGUUGAACUAACAUUAGAGUAUAUGGUUUCUUUAAACGCGUAAUCACCAAAAAAAGGGAAAACGAGCACAAGCGCAACAAGGGGCCGUCGCAUGAAACAACACACAUAAACGUCGAUGAAAGUAAUAGAUGAAAACACAGAAGACGAAAGUGCAGCCAGCUAAGGCGGUGUUCACGUUAAAGAGAUGGUUUGAAUGGAAAUUCAAACACAAGCAAAGAACCAGACAUGGAUGAAGGGGGGUGAAGAGACUAAUCAAAAGGAAGUUUGUGUGUGAGGGAAGCAUAAAAAAGAAUACAACAGUUCAAAGAAGAAACGGUUGUCGGUUAAGGAGGUUAGGAAAAUGAAUGCAACAAAGGGCAGUUGCAGAAAACAACACACAAAAUCGUCGAUGAAACUAAUAGAUGAAAACACAGAAGACAAAAGUGCAGCCAGCCAAGGCGGUGCUCACGUCAAAGGUGGGGUGAUAUGGCGCUGACAUGGAGGGUGGUGGUGGUCAUUUGGGUCAUGACCACACUACAUAGCCUUAUUUAUUUGU